CGAAGCAACGCGAAGAACCUUACCUAAGCUUGACAUCCCAAUGACAUCUCCUUAAUCGGAGAGUUCCCUUCGGGGACAUUGGUGACAGGUGGUGCAUGGUUCUCGUCAGCUCGUGUCGUGAGAUGUUGGGUUAAGUCCCGCAACGAGCGCAACCCUUGUCUUUAGUUGCCAUCAUUAAGUUGGGCACUCUAGAGAGACUGCCAGGGAUAACCUGGAGGAAGGUGGGGAUGACGUCAAAUCAUCAUGCCCCUUAUGCUUAGGGCUACACACGUGCUACAAUGGGUAGUACAGAGGGUUGCCAAGCCGUAAGGUGGAGCUAAUCCCUUAAAGCUACUCUCAGUUCGGAUUGUAGGCUGAAACUCGCCUACAUGAAGCUGGAGUUACUAGUAAUCGCAGAUCAGAAUGCUGCGGUGAAUGCGUUCCCGGGUCUUGUACACACCGCCCGUCACACCACGGGAGUUGGAGACGCCCGAAGCCGAUUAUCUAACCUUUUGGAAGAAGUCGUCGAAGGUGGAAUCAAUAACUGGGGUGAAGUCGUAACAAGGUAGCCGUAUCGGAAGGUGCGGCUGGAUCACCUCCUUUCUAAGGA
rnacentral:rRNA from 1 species